rnacentral:rRNA from 1 species
UGGGGAAUCUUGGUCAAUGGGCGCAAGCCUGAACCAGCGACGCCGCGUGAGUGAUGAAGGCCUUCGGGUUGUAAAGCUCUGUGGGGAGGGACGAAAAACUGGAGUCGAAUAGGCUGCCAGGUUGACGGUACCCCCUUAGCAAGCACCGGCUAACUCUGUGCCAGCAGCCGCGGUAAGACAGAGGGUGCAAACGUUGCUCGGAAUCACUGGGCGUAAAGGGCGUGUAGGCGGGAAGGAAAGUCAGAUGUGAAAUCCCUGGGCUCAACCCAGGAACUGCAUUUGAAACUCCCUUUCUUGAGUGCCGGAGAGGAAAGCGGAAUUCCUGGUGUAGAGGUGAAAUUCGUAGAUAUCAGGAGGAACACCAGCGGCGAAGGCGGCUUUCUGGACGGUAACUGACGCUGAGACGCGAAAGCGUGGGGAGCAAACAGGAUUAGAUACCCCCGUAGUCC